UCAAAACCUGGUUACCUGAUAUUAAUAGUGUGUAUUUUAUGUCAGCAUAGACGACAUAUGUACCACUAACUUCGUACUCGUACAUAUCUGAUACACACAAACUCCGAUUAGAACAAUCAAUGAUCAUGAUUAAUCCGCCGAGACAAUGUAAUCUCACGACAAUAAAGACAUCAGAUCUUCUCGAAUAAUAAUCUGCUAAAAAGAGACAAAGAACAAUAUUGUCUCCGACAAAAAGAGAAAGAGAGGAUCGAUUAUUUGUUUAUUGAUCCACGCCUUAGAUAGAUUAGGACUGUAUGUUUUCAGCGACGGCGUCGAGUGAUCUGCAGAGGACGCACUUGCAGACAGAGUCGUCACAAAUCCCGCCACAAUAGCCAUUAUCGACGCACGUCUCGGCACAGGCUUGGGCGGCCCAGGCCGGAACUCUGGCUGGGGGGCCGUCCCAAUGCAAAUCCCUGCUUGCACCAACAUCUAUAUGCGUAGGAAGAAAAAAAAUGGAGGUUUUGUCAUAAGAUAAGAGGUACUAUACAUAGUACUUACAGAAACUACAAAUUACGAUCUUUUAGAAUCGUACGGGAAGACGCAAGGAGCAGCGCCGACACCAAUACCAGGACGAUGAUCUUGAAAGCCAUGAUCGGCCAAGGAGUGGAAGUACAGAACGAU
rnacentral:lncRNA from 1 species